GCCAGAGCCCCAUCAGCCUGUUGCUUUUGCCUGGUUUCCCACUGAAGCUAAGCAAGGUUGAGCCUGGUCAGUACCUGGAUGGGAGAACUCCUGGGGAAAACUAAGGUUGCUUCUGGAA
rnacentral:rRNA from 1 species